UUCCCAGGAAUCCAUAGCACUGAGCCAAGGCAGUUAAAGCGGUCUCAAACUGGAUUAUUGUUGCAGUGUGUUUUGGACUUAAGCUAACAAGUGAAGCCUAGGAGGUUUUGUCUGUUCACAAAAGUCGACAGAACAUGAUGUGUGUGUGUGUGUGUAUGUGUGUAUAUAUAUUUAUAUCCCUAACAACAAGCACCCUUUGUUUAUUUGUGUAUGCUGUACAAGAGAAAGUGUGUUUGUUCGUGCCUGUGUACAUGGAAUGCAGUUUGUGUAUACAUGUAAGAGAGUCUACAUGCAAAAGUGUGAAUAUAGUAUACUCAUCCCUCCACAUUUACAGCUUUGAUAUUUGCAGAUUUAAUUAUUCACAGGUCUUAUUAAUAUGUUAUCUUUAGGAAUAUCUACAUCCUGCAGCACAACUCCAUGGUCAGCUUUAACCAAAAGUCUUAUGAAUACUGUACAGAGAGAGAGAGAAGAGGGAGUUUCAGCAGGCGUUGCUUGUCGCACAACCAGGUCUCGCUUGUGAAAACCGCAUCCUUGCCUGGAAUUUUCAUAACUACAUGGAGUGUAUCUGCUAAAAGAAUGGUGAGAAGUAACCUUUGUUAAGUUGCCCUGGCUAAGCCACAGUGAACUCUCUUUGGCUUGGCAGCAUUGAUCCAGAACACUUGGCCUGAAAGGACUGAUAAGAAGAAUUGUUCCUUAGGAGGAUUAUUCCUCUAGUUUUAUGGGUAUUUCUGCUUUGCAAUUAUCAUGUCUCUCUGCACCACCCUGGAAAUAAACCAUAGUAUCAGCUGAAAAAGUUGUUUCUCAUCUGAUAUCAUGGUUCUGAAGUGCAUUGGAGAUGAAUUGAGACACAUGUGAACUUUGUGUGUAAGUGUCUUCAACUCACUUCUUGACUUAUGGUGACCCCAUGAAUUUCAUAGGGUUUUCUUAGGCAAGGAAUACUCAGAGGUGGAUUUUCCCAAUUCCUUCCUCUGAAAUAUAGCCUUUGAAAUAUAGUGCCUGAUAUGUGUUGACAGUCUCCCACCCAAGUACUAACCAGAGCUGAUCCUAUUUAGCUUCCAAGGUCUGACAGGAUCAGGUGCCUUUAGAGUAUUUAGGCUCUGUGAGCUUAAUCCAUAAUCAAAAACAUUCAGUAUUACUACUAUAGUUAGGCUAACAGGGCAUAUUCUCCUUGCCUUUAAUAUGGAGGAGAGCUAGGGAGAAACAAUAUUUUCUUCUCUGCCCCUACCUCUUUGUCUGGAUUUUCCCUGUUAUUUUUGGAUUCCUAAAAAUACCACCAUUCUAAUUCCUACCAAUUCUGGGUGGCAACCAGUAGGUUUUCUUUAAUAUGGAAGGAAAUAUUUUGCAUAGAGUUCAAAUAUGUUUUAAAAAUCAAAUGUUAAAGUGGCCAACUGUCUUGUUUUUAAAUAUGAUUUUGAAUGACUCUUUAGAUUCUAAAGGGGUGGCUGUGUGGGUCCCUUGUGGUCCUUAAUUGUUGAUAAAAAUAUGAGCGCAGAGUUGGCAUUAAUGUGAGAUAUUCAUUAUUGUACAUCGAAUUUAUCUCAAACCUUCAGCCUCUAUAGUUAUGGUUUAACAGGAGUUAAGCAUGCUUGCACUCUGCCUUGAUACAGAGGGUGGGUCAAGCAGCAUCGCUGAAGUUAGAACAUAGGAAAUAAGAGGCAUGCCAAAUUCACUCCCACUCUUGUUUGGCUUUGCCAGAGGAUCUCUUUCCAGUGACAUUCAGGAAGCCUAACACAAGGUAGGAAGUUGUGUGCAUUUAGCCAUAACUGAAAACUAGAAGUACAGUACUAUAUUCACAGUUGCAUACUUUUGCAUAUAGACUCUCUUACAUGUAUGCACACAAGAAUUGCAUAGCAUGUACACAGGCACACGCAAGCACACUUUCUCUCGUACAGCAUAUGCAAACACCCAAAAGGUGCUUGAUGUUAGGGACAUAUACAUCAUGUUCUGUCAACUUUUGUGAACAGACAAAACCUCUUAGGCUUCACUUGUUAACUUACAGUCAUUUGUGUAGUCAUAAUAGUUAUUAAUUAAAAGAUACAUAUUCUGCCUUUUUGUUGGCUAACAACAUAUUUGAUAAAAAUUAUCAUAGCCAAUUCAUUCUUGAUUUUGCUUUCUUAGCAGGAAGAUGGUAACCCAAGAGUGCAGAUUUUGUUCUAACUCCCUUACCAUGCUAGUGCUUGCAAAUGGAUAGCUCCUGGAAUCUCCCAUCAUUGUGGAGAUAUUCUGUCCUUUUUUUUUUCUUAACAAAUUUGAACUUGAAAGGGGUGGGGGAGAGAGACAGUAGCAGCUAUGGAAACGCUGGAGAGUUACAAAUGGAAGAUGGUGAAAAAUUCCAUGAAGCAAGACAACUUCAUGAUAGAAGUCUCAUCUGGAAGUACCCGAUGGGCAGAUCACUUCCUGGUGAGGCUUAGACUUACAGCAUUUAUUCCUCUCAGCAGCGGAGUGUGGGAUGAUCCACCCAAGGAGGCUUAUACAGUCUCCAGGAUUACAGAGAGCUCUUGGGGAGUUUCCAUCUGGUUGUUGCCUGUGACUGGGCAGGAGCUCUUGCACACAAUGGGUAAAGGUUGUAAUUUAUGCCUCUCAGAUGGGAGGAGACAACCCAGAACCCUCUAUCUACUGCUGAAAAAAAGGCCUCAGUGGUGAAGCAACGAAGAUGCUAAAUCUGUGCCUAGUUGGGCUAAAAGACUGGAUGAAGGCCAAUAAAUUCAAUCUCAAUCAAGAUAAAACAGAAUGGCUAUUGAAGGGUGGUUUGUCUGGUUGGACUCUCUUGAAGGAACAGGUUCUCAGCUUGAAGUAUUCUGAAUCUAUUUUGGUCAUGAGUGGCACAGGUUCCUCCCAUGGCAAUGGAGUGUUUUUACCAGCUUAGAUGGAUGUGGCAACCUGCAACCCUUGCUGGAUAGAGUAGCCUGGCUUCAGUGAUCCAAAAACUGGUAACAUCCAGAUUAAACUACUGUAAUGCACUUUACAUGGGGGUUGACUGAGGACCAUUCAGAAAGUAGACAGAUAGAUUACAUCAGUUACAGUAGUUCCAUUGCUGGGCCCAGGUCAAGAUGCUGAUCAUGACCUUUAAACCCUUUUAUAGCUUAGGAGCAGGUUGCUUAAAGGAGCACCUGUUUCCAAACAUGCUUGCCCAUUCUUACUCUUUCACCUGAGGUGAGGCAAUGGCUUCCCAAUGACAGUGCCAGUGAUGGCACCCUAUUAGGGUAUUCAUUUCGCUGACAGGGUUACCUGGUAUCUACAAUGCUAUCCUUUCUGUACCAAAUUACACAUCUCUUUUCCCCCUACAUCUACUAGACAUACUGUCAGUUUAUCUGACUGUUCUUAUGUGUCUUUUAAGAUCUUGCUAUCUUCUUGCCUUGUGUUUUUAUGACUGUUUGGAUAUGUUUUAUUUGUGUUCUAAUUGUAUUUUGUAUUUUCUUUUUACAUAAACCGCCCUUGACUUUUUUUUAUUAUUAUUAUUGAAGGGUGGUGUCUUGAAAAAACUUAUAAAAACACGAACGCAGCAUUACAAAACGACGCAUCAGCACUGAAACGUGCAGAGGAUCAGGACGCACCUUUUUUGGUAGCCCUCUGAAAACAUCCAGACUGGCAUUGACUUUUUGCAAAUAAAGAGUAUUCACAUACAGCUGCAUUGAUGACUCACCUGGAACUGUGUUUCCCUUUCACAACCAGCUGAAGGAUCUUGUCCAGUUUUGCUCCAGGAACUAAGAUAAUUAGCAGGCUUGGAAAAGGAGGGGGUGGUUGCUAUUCUAAGGCCCCACUUGUGGUGGGUGAAUGCCCAUAUGUCUUUUGCCUCCAGGUGUCUGCUCUUGUUUUUCUUAAACCCCCCCCCCUUCUCUACUUUCGUGCCUUGUUUGCACUUCCUGUUCACUCCUUGUUUCUUCCAACCUCCUCCAGCUCUUUCUGCUCCCACGUGUCGUUGACUGAAACAAAGCAGUAUUUGUUGAGUUUUCUUCUUUCUGCAGUUGUUGUAAUAUACUUUUCUGUUUCCAUCUCGACCUUUACUUUUAAAACAGGGACAAUUUCUAUCAUGUUAACUUCAACACUAACACACUUAGCUUCUAUAACGUUUUCAUUGUCACUUAAUUGCUGUGUGCAUUCAUGCACAUGUGUGCUUUGUGGCUGCUCUUUGUUAUCUUUACGCUAACACUCAGAAGAAAAGCAGCUAGUUCUACCAUUCUCACAUUCAUUGAAUAGGGUGUCUGGAGAAUGCUGCUUACCCUGUUUUGUUAUUCCUAUUCAGGUCAGUUGUGGUUACUCUCCCUGUUCAGGCAGCUUGCAUCCUUUUUCAGCAGAGCUACAUUUUCCAGAAAUAACUUAAUAACCAACUACUGUUUACUGAGUGUAUAUUGUAUACUAUAUAUGAAGUGGGAAAUAAACUACCAGUGCAAACCAACCAUUAAUGUGCUUAAAAUACAUGUGUAUGCAUAUACACAUGUGUGUGUAUAUGUGUGUGUGUUUGUUUCCCCUUCUGUCCUGUAGUUAGGAUUUACAAUAAAAUAUUUUUUAACAAACCAAAUACCACAAAUAAUAAUCUGAGCAUAUUUACAGACCAGAAACCUCAAUAUCUCAGCAUACUAGAAAUUAGAAUGGACAUGUACUCUAAGGAAAGCAAUCCUCUAUUUGAAGGUCUAGACCAGCUAAAAUUUAUAAGAAUACAGAGGGCUUAUAUUGGAGAUGGCAAAAGCAACCUGGAACAUUUUACCACAUGUGGUGGACUUGUCUUAUAAUAAAAAAUUAUUGGAAGGAAGUGCAUAGAAUAAUUCAAGAAAUAUAUCAAAUUAAAAUUAAAUUAGAACCUGAAGUAUGCUUGUUAAAUAUGAUAAGAUGACCUAAUUGGGAGAAGACAUUUGAAGCAAAUAUUAUAUUUAAUAACUACGGCAAGGAUGAUGAUUGCCAGAUAUUGGAAGGAAGGAGAUCAUGCACCUGAUAUUGAGGCCUGGUUAAUUAAGGCUUUAGAUAUCAUUGAAAUGGACAAUCUAACAACUUACAUGAAGGAAGAAAGGAGAGAGGAACACAUAUGGGAACUGCUGAUUAAAUACUGGAAAAAAAAGAUGGUCGGAUAUGGAUUGUAUGAAAUAGAUUUGCCACUUCCAGUUUAGCUUGCAAUUUGUAAUUGAAGUAAAUAAUAAAAGAUGUUAUUUGAUUCGUAUAAAAGGUAAGAGGUAAAAAAAAUACACUAGUAAUAUUACAUACUUUUUUAUGGAAAGCUAAAAUAUCAUAUAAGAUGGGAGAUGAGGUUGAUAAAUCAGAGAAAGAAAUGAGGAAUAAUUAAUAAUUGCUGUGUUUAUAAUAUAUCUAAGAAAAUGGAUUUUGUAGGGGAA